CACAAAAUCAGAAGAUGCACCAUUAUUACUUGUACCUAGCGUUACAAGAGGUCACACAGACAUUAACGCAAGAGUUGAACCGUUGUUGAGCGAGGUUGAAUCCAACCAAUAUUGCACUUGCGCUUUUUCGAAAUCCACGUAACAUAGAGGGAAAAGAUUAGAUACAGGCACAGGACCUCUCCUCAACCAACGACUAGUCCAAGGCCUCCAAAAAGCGCGUGGCGCGAUGGUGAUGGCCGCGGUCGGGCCCUUCCGCACCGCUUGCGCACUGCCAUCGCGCAUGGAGGUUGCCGGUGUCCACACAGUUCGCAUCACGGGCGCAGGCAGCCCAGGCAGCAGCCCUCAAUCUCUUGCCGCAUGCCUGGAAGUGGAUUCUUCGGGCCGCGGAGCUCCCACCUUGCGCUACGUGGGAAACGGGCUGGGCUACUAUUACCGGUGAGCGAAAUCCAGUAAUAUGUAAUAUGCAAUAUGUGUGUCGAACGAAACGUUGCCAAAAGCAUGUACCAUAUAUCUUGAGGAAAUUAGUUGCGGAGAAAUGUUCUUUCGUAAGGUCCGUCGUCUUGAACCAGGGCUCCUGAAGGGCCGGUGGUGAUGUCAGUUGCGCACGAGAGUAGUUUUGCGCGGCGCCGCAAUCAUCACAGGAAAGAGAAAACGCGCCAACGCUGGUCUUUGGAGCCGUGUGGUCGGAGCUGGGCUGGGGUCUUCUCGGGCUGGGUCAGGAACCGCCUCUUGAAGAGAGCUGCGCGACUUUGGGUUUGAUUUUGCCACGAUUGAUUGACGACGGAGAAAAAAUCCCCGUGACGAGAAACGCCGUCACAGACACAGCAAGUAUGCGCGCGGUUCGGCGGUUUGGAUAAGGAAGGAACCACACAGUGCCGUCGCCAAGGAGACAUCGCGAAACGAGCCGAUCUGACUGCGGACCUGGGGCGGCAGUGGGGGCAGCUAAUGGCGCUCGGAAAGACCUGAGACCUGUCUAUCGGGGCUGGUACUACAGGGUUCCCUUUCUCCCAGUAACAUUUCGCACUUGCCCGACAGAUUGUAUUGACAAAAACAAUAUAAUUUAUUCCCCGAAAAACGUUUGAGGAUAUGAUUAGUGGUAUUUAUUUUGGUUAAGAGCACCUCCCCCGUUUCCCAACCUCCUCAACUCUUGUUCUCCGGCCCCCCGGAUAUUAUCCCUUCUUGCGUUCCCUGCAUUUAGUUACCUCUUACCUCUUACCUCUUACCUCUUACCUCUUAGCCGCCACCCUGCACGCCAACCUCCAUCUACCCCCCACCCGCCGUUCGUCUUUCCCCCACCCGCCGGCCCCCUGCAGCCAGGCCGCAUCUGUUCGUACAGAUGUCCCGG
rnacentral:lncRNA from 1 species